rnacentral:rRNA from 1 species
CCUACGGGAGGCAGCAGUAGGGAAUCUUUCACAAUGGGCGAAAGCCUGAUGGAGCAACGCCGCGUGCAGGAUGAAGGCCUUCGGGUUGUAAACUGCUUUUAUAAGCGAGAAAUAUGAUGGUAACUUAUGAAUAAGGAUCGGCUAACUACGUGCCAGCAGCCGCGGUCAUACGUAGGAUCCGAGCAUUAUCCGGAGUGACUGGGUGUAAAGAGUGGCGUAGGUGGCAUAAUAAGUAGCUAGUGAAAUCUGGUGGCUCAACCAUUCAGACUAUUAGCUAAACUGUUAAGCUCGAGACCGUUAGGGGUAACUGGAAUUGCUAGUGUAGGAGUGAAAUCCGUAGAUAUUAGAAGGAACACCAAUAGCGUAGGCAGGUUGCUGGGACGGUUCUGACACUAAGGCACGAAAGCGUAGGGAGCAAACGGGAUUAGAUACCCCGGUAGUC